rnacentral:rRNA from 1 species
CCUACGGGAGGCAGCAGUGAGGAAUAUUGGUCAAUGGACGAGAGUCUGAACCAGCCAAGUAGCGUGAAGGAUGACUGCCCUAUGGGUUGUAAACUUCUUUUAUAUGGGAAUAAAAUGUUCCACGUGUGGGCUUUUGUAUGUACCAUAUGAAUAAGGAUCGGCUAACUCCGUGCCAGCAGCCGCGGUAAUACGGAGGAUCCGAGCGUUAUCCGGAUUUAUUGGGGUUAAAGGGUGAGUAGGUGGAAUGCCAAGUCAGCGGUAAAAUCGCGGGGCUCAACCUCGCUCCGCAGUUGAAACUGGCGUUCUUGAGGGGGCGAGAAGUAGGCGGAAUGCGUGGUGUAGCGGUGAAAUGCAUAGAGAUCACGCAGAACUCCGAUUGCGAAGGCAGCAUACCGGCGCCCAACUGACGCGGAAGCACGAAAGCGUGGGUAUCGAACAGGAUUAGAUACCCGUGUAGUC